CCGCCGGUGGACAGCGCAUAGGACCUGCCGCGGAAGUUGAGCGUGCCGGUGCCGCCCGAACCGCCGAUGAACCAUCCGGCCUUGUAGAUGACGAGCGACACGGUGCCGCUGUCGGCAUGGGCCGACGACAGGCCGGCUCCGAUGAGCGCCGUCACGGCGAUCAGCGCGGCGCGAAUGGCAGAUGGCAAACGCAUGUGGAUUCUCCGGAUUGGUGUGGACGAGGAAUGAGCAGCGGAUGCU
rnacentral:misc_RNA from 1 species